UCCUCAUAAUAACAUGGUCUUAGUUUAAAGCUUUAUGAAAGGCAAGAUAGUCAUUUCCUCAAGGAGUGCUACGCCUUUAAUUUAUCUUGCUUUUUUUCCCUUAUUGUGGUUUAAAUGAAAUUGUGCGUGUUUGUGUGUGUGUGUGUGUGUGUGUGUGUGUGUGUGUGUGUGCAUUCCUUUAUUGAUUACUUAAAGGUGGAGAGAGACAAGCUGUGACUCCCGCUCUCCGUUGGCCGUUGAUGUUUUCGCCACGUGACCAAUCAGGACUGUGUGUGUGCACAAACACGAGGGAAAACUAAAAAAAAAAAAAAAUGCUUACAGCCUUCUCUUCCCUUGUCUUUAUUUCUCAUACUGAGCUUUUUUCUUUCACAUCCAUUAUUUUGGUGACACAGGUCUGAUUUCUCAAGGAAUCAUCAGACGACAGAGUUGGUGAUCGGGCGCCGGGUGGAGGAACGGAGGAUGUAGGAGGAAUGUGUUUUGGUAAAUUGGCAGUGGGGGUGAGGGGAGCAGCGACAUGGGGGAGCAGAGGAGAAGCUGAAGAGCAGGAAAUGAAGGAGAAAGAAACGAUGGAAUGCGGUGGAAAGGCAGUAGAAUGCACUUGGUGUGUUGGGGGGUUUUCAGCUCAGAUGUUGGGCUCCUCCUCCUCCUCCUCCUCCUCCUCCUCCUUUGGAUUUCUUCAGCUCAGGGCGGGGUAGUAUGCGCCUGUGUGCGUUCAUGCGUACAUGCCAUCAUGUGUGGCGUGGUCAGUCGGAGAGGCGGAGACAACAAAGGACUCCACUUCCUCACAUAUCUCUUUCAAAGGCAGAGCGGAGGACGCCACCUGUCGAUGAGCAGCCGCCACGGAGGCGGCGUGCUGGUAAAAUUCCACUCCCACAGAUGAGGAAGAGGGCCCACAUGUGCAAACAGGCCUCAGUGAAGUGACUUGAUAAGAAGAAACAUUUUUUUCCCCCUUGGGAAUUCCACUUGUGUGGUUGAAUAAAAAUGUGAGAGCUUGUUGUGUUUAA